AGGUAGAGGGAAGCCUCCAAGCCGGUUUUGCAGAUGUCCUCACCCUCCGGCGGAAAAGCUACGAGUCUCCAAGCUGACCCAAGAUCACCCCUUGCCCGAAGAAGGGGAGAUCUCAAGAGCCCAGGGAUGGGCGGGAAGGGACCAUGGGGAGCCACAAGUCUGCACCCAGGCGGGGAGUGGGCGAGCGAGAGCCGCUCCGCAGGCGCAGAAGGCUGAAGCGGGCCAGUGACUACAUCUCUCUGGGUCUGUGUUCACCUUGGUGAGCCGAAAACUCCAGAGACACCUGUGGACACACCAGCUUGAACCCAGAGCUUUGCCUGUGCUAGGCAAGAGAGGACAAUGCUCUCAGUCUUCCCCCUGAGGAUACAUUGCAAGAACUCCAGCGUGCACAGAAAGAGAACCAAGAGUGGAACUGGUAUGUGCAGUGCCUGCGGGGGCCAGAAGAAGGCAUCAGACCUAAGAGGGACAGUUUUAAGUUGGAGCGUCUGAGAAGAUGGCAGAACUUACUUCAAGGGCUGCAGGAUGGUGGCUCACACCUACUAUCCUACCACCUAGGGGGAGCCGAUGGAGGAGAAUCGGGAGUUCAAGGUCAUCCUGGACUACAUAGCAAAUUUGAGGUCAGCCUGGACGGCCGAAGGUCCUGGAUUCAACUCUCAGCAUUGCAAAAAUAAUAAAGAUCUUAUACCCG
rnacentral:lncRNA from 1 species